CGUCAGCGCCGCUCGGCCGCAGCGCAGAAGUGCGUCAGACCGCGGAGCCGCAUACGGGCACGGAGCUUAAAGCGAGAAUACGAUGCAUCACUUACGGAAACAAAGUCAUCCUGUAACAACUUCAUUGUUACAGUUUGACUUCAUCCUUCUGGGAAACAGGCUGUCACCAAGCUGCGUGAUGGAGAGCUCUGUGUUUGCUCAGCUUCUCGCUGCAUUGGGGUCCAUCUGUACGGCAAAUUUGUAUCAAUAUUUGUUUAGCAUGAGCCUCCAAGUUAUCAUAAUGUGUAACAUGUAACUACUUCUUGCAUUUAAAUGAGUGUCUGAGGCAGCCAAGACACUUUUUAAACAUUUAGGACGGAUAAAUAACUAUUUUAUGUACUGCUUUUUUUUUUGUGAAAACGUACAAAUUAAGCGGCAUUUUUGCCAGAUUUUUCGAUGAUCAGUAAGGGUAUGUUCACACUAGGGAAGUCAAAAAAGUGAUUCCAUGAUUGUACAUGAUGUUUCUAUGAUUGUACAUGAUAUUUCUAUGAUUGUCCCUAAUGUUUGUGGGGAAAAGAGGGAGUAAAAUACGCAUACAAACAC